GCAAAAGCCGAUUUAUCCUUUUGGCAUUUCAAUCUUGUCUUAAAUAGGGCAACCAAGUCCUGUGUUGUCAUAGGGGGCACUUUUAGAAGAGCAGUCCUGAUUUCAUCCUCAGUAACAGGACCAGUAGGAGCUGAUUGCUCAGUUUUUGAGGAUGUUGCCACUGCCGCUUUAGGAGUCGCAGUAACUUUGGAAGAAGUUUGUUGCUCUUCCUUAACAGACAACUUCGGUUCAUUAUCA
rnacentral:misc_RNA from 1 species